CACGAGGCAUCCAUACAAACGACAGCGUUACAUAAUUCAUGAUGUCACCUUGAAAUUACUCAAAGCGAGAAUUUGGAACUUGAAGUUUUCUCCCUUCUGCUCUGCAAGUAAUAGGGAGUACCGGUGUGUAGCAUCCUUAUCUGAUGAGCCCAAUGCUUGCUUUGUGCAGGAAAUAUUUCCCAUGUACUGUGACUAUGCACCUCCCAGAAUGCAAUACAUAUUAUGAGCUGAAUCCUUGUCUUCUCUUCAGUGAGAGGAAGUUGCCUGUGCUGUAAACUGCUCACUCCUUGCAAGUAAAAUCCUGAAGAAGGUCUCAACUGAUUGUGUCUGCUUUAUUUAAGAUUCACAAAGGGAACUAACAAUUUCCCUAACAGUCCGACUGCUGUGAUGGAUUUACAGUAACAGGAAGUAAAGAUAAGAUAAGAGGAUGAAAAUACUACUCUGAUAAUGACAUGUCGCUUGUUUGUUGUUCUCAUGUUCAACCUUUUUUUUCCGGCUUUUUGCCGUCUCGUUCUCAUGCUCCACAGGUAAUCGGAGGCCGGAGACGAGGCCGUUGUCGUGGGCAGACUGUUGUCGUACCUGCAACAUUAUUGGCUUAGCGCUGCGCUGUUUGCUGAGACAACACUUCGGCAAAACAUUCCUCUCAUGCAGUUAUUAGACAGCGGCAAGAUGAACGAGCCGGGUCAGCGCCACCGAAUCUCCUCGAGAGGCCCAGAGAACUUCGAGUGGGUGCCAACCAAAGGGCUUAACAACUGUAGGAUUUGCCUGCAAGGCUGCAUUGCACCGGAUUGUGCAAGUGCUCCUAUUGUCCAGAAAAAUCCUGAUAAUCUGACCAAAGCAAGGAGUGACUGCAAGGCAAACCCUGGCGUUCACCUCACACCCAGCGCGUCCGUGGGACCCGUCUGCUGCUGUGAGGGCCGAUGAGGGAAAGCCUGUCUGCUGACUAACAUGUCUGUGGAAGGCCACCGGCUGAGACGCCGUGCCCUGUCUUCACAGUGGGCACGCGGCAGGAGAGGCUGAGUGGAGCACAGCUAAAAUUAUCAGCUUGCCUGAUCCGGGCCAAGCUGGGCAGGAAUGUGUCACCGGAACCGUCUGUAUCAACAUUACGCACAUUACAGCGGGGCACGGUGUGACCACGGCAGCGCUUGAGUGGAAAAAGCACAGGCAAUAAUGACACGAGGGCUUCCUGUAAACGACACUGACAGCGUUGGGUUCAAAUAUCAAACCUGUUGCUUUUUCUUUGUCUACAGCCCCUUUGCACAAUUAAAGUUGACUAAAACCUGCGUUCUGGCUGCUCCACCAUCGUUAAUCCACAGUGAAUGGCUUGGUUGUACGUUUUUCAUCCAGCAUCAUCAGCAAUGCACAUCUCAGCACAUUAGUGAGUGACCGCUCUGUGGAAGCGAUGGAGUUUUCUUAAUAUGAGAAAAUUGAGGAUUUUCUGUGGUCCAAAUGACUCAUCUAGCCUCUAGCUUAUGCAGCCUUUUACAGUAUGUAAAGCUUUGUCUUUAUUCUCCUGGUGAAAUACAUUUGUGCUUUCAUUAAUUUAAAACCGGCUUCUAAGAGGAAAAUAACAUUUUGUCAGGAAUGGCAUUUUUUGGUGAGUGCUUUUACUGAGACCCCCUGAGGGAUGUGUCUAAAUAUAUCCAACGUGACAUGACUGCUUCUCUCAGCUUACAUGCAUUGUAAACAUGCUGUGCAUGCAUAUCUUGGCAUGUGAUGCUGUAAGAUAAAAUCUUCUGUGGUGUCCGAAAGGUGAUGUUGCUAAAACACAUUCAGCAGAGGCUUUAGACUUUUGAAGUUUCAGCUGCUUGACCAUUAAGGGUGGAGGAGACAUUUUAGAUAUAUGUUGCUGUUGCCCGUGGCAACACAUUCACCUUAGAGCCAAUCGAGUGUGUGAGGUGGUCACAGAGAGGAGCAGCGUACACACACACACACACACACACACACACACACACACACACACACACACACACACACACACACACACACACACACACACACACACACACACACACACACA